rnacentral:rRNA from 1 species
UACGUAGGGUGCAAGCGUUGUCCGGAAUUAUUGGGCGUAAAGAGCUCGUAGGCGGUCUGUCGCGUCGGAUGUGAAAAUCCAGGGCUCAACCCUGGACCUGCAUUCGAUACGGGCAGACUAGAGGUAUGCAGGGGAGAACGGAAUUCCUGGUGUAGCGGUGAAAUGCGCAGAUAUCAGGAGGAACACCGGUGGCGAAGGCGGUUCUCUGGGCAUGACCUGACGCUGAGGAGCGAAAGUGUGGGGAGCGAACAGG